rnacentral:rRNA from 1 species
ACUCCUACGGGAGGCAGCAGUGGGGAAUAUUGCACAAUGGGCGCAAGCCUGAUGCAGCCAUGCCGCGUGUAUGAAGAAGGCCUUCGGGUUGUAAAGUACUUUCAGCAGUGAGGAAGGUGGGUAUGUUAAUAGCAUACUCAUUUGACGUUAGCUGCAGAAGAAGCACCGGCUAACUCCGUGCCAGCAGCCGCGGUAAUACGGAGGGUGCGAGCGUUAAUCGGAAUUACUGGGCGUAAAGCGCAUGCAGGUGGUUGUUAAGUCAGAUGUGAAAGCCCGGGGCUCAACCUCGGAAUUGCAUUUGAAACUGGCAAACUAGAGUACUGUAGAGGGGGUAGAAUUUCAGGUGUAGCGGUGAAAUGCGUAGAGAUCUGAAGGAUACCGGUGGCGAAGCGGCCCCUGGACAGAUACUGACACUCAGAUGCGAAAGCGU